GGUUAAGUUAGAAAGGGCGCACGGUGAAUGCCUUGGCACUAGGAGCCGAUGAAGGACGGGACUAACACCGAUAUGCUUCGGGGAGCUGUAAGUGAGCUUUGAUCCGGAGAUUUCCGAAUGGGGAAACCCACUGUUCGUAAUGGAACAGUAUCUUUAUCUGAAUACAUAGGAUAUUGAAGGCAGACCCGGGGAACUGAAACAUCUAAGUACCCGGAGGAAGAGAAAGCAAAUGCGAUUUCCUGAGUAGCGGCGAGCGAAACGGAAUUAGCCCAAACCAAGAGGCUUGCCUCUUGGGGUUGUAGGACACUCUAUACGGAGUUACAAAGGAACGAAGUAAAUGAAGCGACCUGGAAAGGUCCGUCAAAGAAGGUAACAACCCUGUAGUUGAAACUUCGUUCCCUCUUGAGUGGAUCCUGAGUACGGCGGAACACGUGAAAUUCCGUCGGAAGCUGGGAGGACCAUCUCCCAAGGCUAAAUACUACCUAGUGACCGAUAGUGAACCAGUACCGUGAGGGAAAGGUGAAAAGCACCCCGGAAGGGGAGUGAAAGAGAUCCUGAAACCGUGUGCCUACAAGUAGUCAGAGCCCGUUAACGGGUGAUGGCGUGCCUUUUGUAGAAUGAACCGGCGAGUUACGAUCCCAUGCAAGGUUAAGCUGAUAAGGCGGAGCCGUAGCGAAAGCGAGUCUGAAUAGGGCGUUUAGUAUGUGGUUGUAGACCCGAAACCAGGUGAUCUACCCAUGUCCAGGGUGAAGUUCAGGUAACACUGAAUGGAGGCCCGAACCCACGCACGUUGAAAAGUGCGGGGAUGAGGUGUGGGUAGCGGAGAAAUUCCAAUCGAACCUGGAGAUAGCUGGUUCUCUCCGAAAUAGCUUUAGGGCUAGCCUCAUGUUGUGAGAGUCUUGGAGGUAGAGCACUGAUUGGACUAGGGGCCCCCAACGGGUUACCGAAUUCAGUCAAACUCCGAAUGCCAAAGACUUAUCCAUGGGAGUCAGACUGCGAGUGAUAAGAUCCGUAGUCAAAAGGGAAACAGCCCAGACCACCAGCUAAGGUCCCCAAGUAUACGUUAAGUGGAAAAGGAUGUGGAGUUGCUUAGACAACCAGGAUGUUGGCUUAGAAGCAGCCACCAUUUAAAGAGUGCGUAAUAGCUCACUGGUCGAGUGACUCUGCGCCGAAAAUGUACCGGGGCUAAACGUAUCACCGAAGCUGUGGAUUGACAUCUUUGAUGUCAGUGGUAGGAGAGCGUUCUAAGUGCUGUGAAGUCAGACCGUAAGGACUGGUGGAGCGCUUAGAAGUGAGAAUGCCGGUAUGAGUAGCGAAAGACAAGUGAGAAUCUUGUCCACCGAAUGCCUAAGGUUUCCUGAGGAAGGCUCGUCCGCUCAGGGUUAGUCGGGACCUAAGCCGAGGCUGAAAAGCGUAGGCGAUGGCCAACAGGUUGAUAUUCCUGUACCACCUCCCCGCCGUUUGAGUAAUGGGGGGACGCAGUAGGAUAGGGUAAGCGCGCUGCUGGAUAUGCGCGUUCAAGCAGUUAGGCUGAUGAGUAGGCAAAUCCGCUCAUCAUAAAGGCUGAGCUGUGAUGACGAGGGAAUUAUAGUACCGAAGUUCCUGAUUCCACACUGCCAAGAAAAGCCUCUAGCGAGGCGGGAGGUGCCCGUACCGCAAACCGACACAGGUAGGCGAGGAGAGAAUCCUAAGGUGAUCGAGAGAACUCUCGUUAAGGAACUCGGCAAAAUGACCCCGUAACUUCGGGAGAAGGGGUGCUCUGGUAGGGUGUAUAGCCCGAGAGAGCCGCAGUGAAUAGGCCCAGGCGACUGUUUAGCAAAAACACAGGUCUCUGCGAAGCCGCAAGGCGAAGUAUAGGGGCUGACGCCUGCCCGGUGCUGGAAGGUUAAGAGGAGGGGUUAUCCUUUGGGAGAAGCUCUGAAUCGAAGCCCCAGUAAACGGCGGCCGUAACUAUAACGGUCCUAAGGUAGCGAAAUUCCUUGUCGGGUAAGUUCCGACCCGCACGAAAGGCGUAACGAUCUGGGCACUGUCUCAACGAGAGACUCGGUGAAAUUAUAGUACCUGUGAAGAUGCAGGUUACCCGCGACAGGACGGAAAGACCCCGUGGAGCUUUACUGUAGCCUGAUAUUGAAUUUUGGUACAGCUUGUACAGGAUAGGUAGGAGCCUGAGAAGCCGGAGCGCUAGCUUCGGUGGAGGCGUCGGUGGGAUACUACCCUGGCUGUAUUGAAAUUCUAACCCGCGGCCCUGAUCGGGCCGGGAGACAGUGUCAGGUGGGCAGUUUGACUGGGGCGGUCGCCUCCUAAAAUGUAACGGAGGCGCCCAAAGGUUCCCUCAGAAUGGUUGGAAAUCAUUCGUAGAGUGUAAAGGCACAAGGGAGCUUGACUGCGAGACCUACAAGUCGAGCAGGGACGAAAGUCGGGCUUAGUGAUCCGGUGGUUCCGCAUGGAAGGGCCAUCGCUCAACGGAUAAAAGCUACCCCGGGGAUAACAGGCUUAUCUCCCCCAAGAGUCCACAUCGACGGGGAGGUUUGGCACCUCGAUGUCGGCUCAUCGCAUCCUGGGGCUGUAGUCGGUCCCAAGGGUUGGGCUGUUCGCCCAUUAAAGCGGUACGCGAGCUGGGUUCAGAACGUCGUGAGACAGUUCGGUCCCUAUCCGUCGUGGGCGUAGGAAAUUUGAGAGGAGCUGUCCUUAGUACGAGAGGACCGGGAUGGACACACCGCUGGUGUACCAGUUGUCUUGCCAAAGGCAUCGCUGGGUAGCUAUGUGUGGACGGGAUAAGUGCUGAAAGCAUCUAAGCAUGAAGCCCCCCUCAAGAUGAGAUUUCCCAUAGCGCAAGCUAGUAAGAUCCCUGAAAGAUGAUCAGGUUGAUAGGUCAGAGGUGGAAGCGUGGCGACAUGUGUAGCUGACUGAUACUAAUCGAUCGAGGACUUAACCAA
rnacentral:rRNA from 1 species